GAUGAACGCUGGCGGCGUGCCUAAUACAUGCAAGUCGAGCGAACAGACGAGGAGCUUGCUCCUCUGACGUUAGCGGCGGACGGGUGAGUAACACGCGGAUAACCUACCUAUAAGACUGGGAUAACUUCGGGAAACCGGAGCUCAUACCGGACAAUAUAUUGAACCGCAUGGUUCAAUAGUGAAAGACGGUUUUGCUGUCACUUAUAGAUGGAUCCGCGCCGCAUUAGCUAGUUGGUAAGGUAACGGCUUACCAAGGCAACGAUGCGUAACCGACCUGAGAGGGUGAUCGGCCACGCUGGAACUGAGACGCGGUCCAGACUCCUACGGGAGGCAGCAGUAGAGAAUCUUCCGCAAUGGGCGAAAGCCUGACGGAGCAACGCCGCGUGAGUGAUGAAGGUCUUCGGAUCGUAAAACUCUGUUAUGAGGGAAGAACAAAUGUGUAAGUAACUAUGCACGUAUUGACGGUACCUAAUCAGAAAGCCACGGCUAACUACGU
rnacentral:rRNA from 1 species